AAAGGCGUAAUGAAAGUGAAGGUUCGCCACGCGCGAACCGAGGGAGGACGGACGGUCGAUCGUGGCCGUCCCGCACUCCCUGGGCGUCUCGUUCUCAUCGCGAGAAGAGGCGCACCAAGAGCGUACACGCUGGGACCCGAAAGAUGGUGAACUAUGCCUGGUCAGGACGAAGUCAGGGGAAACCCUGAUGGAGGUCCGUAGCGAUUCUGACGUGCAAAUCGAUCGUCGGAACUGGGUAUAGGGGCGAAAGACUAAUCGAACCAUCUAGUAGCUGGUUCCCUCCGAAGUUUCCCUCAGGAUAGCUGGCGCUCGCUUCUGGCGAGUCUCAUUCGGUAAAGCGAAUGAUUAGAGGCAUUGGGGUCGAAACGGCCUCAACCUAUUCUCAAACUUUAAAUGGGUGAGAUCUCCGGCUUGCUUGAACUGUGAAGCCGCGAGAUAUCGGAUCAGAGUGCCAAGUGGGCCACUUUUGGUAAGCAGAACUGGCGCUGUGGGAUGAACCAAACGCCGAGUUAAAGCGCCUAAAUCGACGCUUAUGGGA
rnacentral:rRNA from 1 species